GGAGGUGGCAGGAAGGAGGUGGGGUGGGGGUGGGGGGCUUAAUUUUGCUUGAGGAGUAAAGCCGUGUUUAGAAAAGAGAAGCAAGAAGCCAGAGACUGAAGCCUCACCCUCCUCAACUGGGAGGCCCUCCACACCCCCCUCCCCACCCAUCCUGAGGUUGCUUCAUAGAGAAGUGUGGUCACUGGCAAACAAGCCCCAGAAGAGCAGGAGAGCAAACUUCAUUUGUCGCAGAGCCGAUCACGUGUCCCGCCUGCCUUCGGUCUCCAGGACCAUGACACAGCACAACAUUUUGGUCUCAGCUGCAGUGUCUGCACUGGCUUGGAGAAACCUUGCCUAAUUACCCAACCCCCACACCCAGACCAAGUUGCUUUAUUCAUCUCCGAGAGCACCAUUAAUUGGCUGAUGGGACGUGAUGGGUUAAGCUACUGCCGGU